rnacentral:rRNA from 1 species
UACGAAGGGGGCUAGCGUUGCUCGGAAUCACUGGGCGUAAAGGGUGCGUAGGCGGGUCUUUUAAGUCAGGGGUGAAAUCCUGGAGCUCAACUCCAGAACUGCCUUUGAUACUGAGAGUCUUGAGUUCGGGAGAGGUGAGUGGAACUGCGAGUGUAGAGGUGAAAUUCGUAGAUAUUCGCAAGAACACCAGUGGCGAAGGCGGCUCACUGGCCCGGUACUGACGCUGAGGCACGAAAGCGUGGGGAGCAAACAGGG